GACGAACGCUGGCGGCGUGCUUAACACAUGCAAGUCGAACGGAAAGGCCCUGCUUGCAGGGUGCUCGAGUGGCGAACGGGUGAGUAACACGUGGGUGAUCUGCCCCUUACUUUGGGAUAAGCCUGGGAAACUGGGUCUAAUACUGGAUAGGACCAUGCUGUAGGUGGUGUGGUGGAAAGAUUAGUUUCGGUAAGGGAUGAGCUCGCGGCCUAUCAGCUUGUUGGUGGGGUAAUGGCCUACCAAGGCGUCGACGGGUAGCCGGCCUGAGAGGGUGGACGGCCACAUUGGGACUGAGAUACGGCCCAGACGCCGACGGGAGGCAGCAGUGGGGAAUAUUGCACAAUGGGCGCAAGCCGGAUGCAGCGACGCCGCGUGGGGGAUGACGGCCUUCGGGUUGGAAACUCCUUUCAGCCAUGACGAAGCCCUUGUGGUGACGGUAGUGGUAGAAGAAGCACCGGCUAACUACGUG
rnacentral:rRNA from 1 species